rnacentral:RNase_P_RNA from 1 species
CCAGUCGGCCGGACGGCCGCUCUCCGCGAGGAGGGAGGAAAGUCCGGGCUCCAUCGAGACACGGCGCCGGAUAACGUCCGGCGGGGGUGACCCCAGGGAUAGCGCCACAGAAAGCAAACCGCCUCGGCUCCGGCCGGGGUCAGGGUGAAAGGGUGCGGUAAGAGCGCACCGCGCGACCGGCAACGGGAGCGGCAUGGCAAGCCCCGCCGGGAGCAAAACCGAAUAGGGGCGACGGCGGUGGGCGACCACCGCGGGGGCGUCUCGAGCCCUUGUCGUCCGGGUUGGUUGCUUGAGGCGGUCGGCGACGACCGUCCCAGAGGAAUGGCCGUCACGUCGCGACGCGCAAGCGCCGCGGCCCUACAGAACCCGGCUUACAGGCCGGCUGGCAUC